rnacentral:rRNA from 1 species
GAGUUUGAUCCUGGCUCAGAGCGAACGCUGGCGGCAGGCUUAACACAUGCAAGUCGAGCGGGCCCUUCGGGGUCAGCGGCGGACGGGUGAGUAACGCGUGGGAACGUGCCUUCUGGUUCGGAAUAACCCUGGGAAACUAGGGCUAAUACCGGAUACGCCCUUUUGGGGAAAGGUUUACUGCCGGAAGAUCGGCCCGCGUCUGAUUAGCUAGUUGGUGGGGUAACGGCCUACCAAGGCGACGAUCAGUAGCUGGUCUGAGAGGAUGAUCAGCCACACUGGGACUGAGACACGGCCCAGACUCCUACGGGAGGCAGCAGUGGGGAAUAUUGGACAAUGGGCGCAAGCCUGAUCCAGCCAUGCCGCGUGAGUGAUGAAGGCCUUAGGGUUGUAAAGCUCUUUUAUCCGGGACGAUAAUGACGGUACCGGAGGAAUAA